AACUGUUAUGCGUAUGAUUAUCGGUGCUUUAACCCUUAUAUAGUAGUUUGGAUAUUUGCUUGGCAUAAUGCUUUUGGUCUAGGCUACAGUUGUGAUGUUUCUAGUGCUUGUCUAAUUGUUUUGAUGGCACCACGAAUGGCACAUUGGCCCCUUGAGAUUGAGGUAAGCUUACCUUUAAUUAGACAGUUACAAAGUUGCUAGGUAUGGUACCGAGCAAACUCAUAUCAUUUUGGUCAGCCUAGUUGAUGCAUAAGGAAAAAAAUUGCAAUGUUGUUAGAUUUGAUCAAUCCAGUCAAAACAAGUAACCUAUAUGUAUUCAUAUUGUUGCCAGUGCUGAUAAAACUAGCUAGCCCGAGUCACUUUGACUAAACUACUCAACCUUAUAGAUUAUAGUCUUACACUUUCAAUUUCUAGUAAUAUAUUAUCAAAAUCUGUUAUGGUCUUGUUUUUGUGAUUUGCUAACAUAAAAAUAUUUUAGAAGGGACGGUUUUACUGAUCGAUAUAGAAAACUGCUGGGGGACUUCCCACUGGAUAAUUUUGUUAAUAUUCAAAAGAUAACAUGAGAAGUGGAACUUUUGAUCUGUAACUUCCUUGAGCCAACGAUCGGAGCGUGAGGAGUCCAAUAAAAUAUUUGGGGCAGGAAUGGUCUUUUUUUCCCCUCCCUGGGACAAGGUUUAUAUUUGAGAGGGUUGGGGGUUGGGUGGGUUGGCCGGCAUUCCUCCUUAGAACUACCAUUUGUGUCCAUUAUACAUUACAUAUUCAACCUUAAAAGUAUUCCUUGUAUCUUGUAUACUCUUCCUAGAAGCAUAUAUGGAAACCCAAAUAAUCUGCUAUCACUGAUUUAAAAUUGAUCACUCUAUUUAACACUUGCGUUCUCACUUUUAAUUGCAUCACAAAAAUGCUGAUUAGUUUUUGUUCUUAGUCAAUGUACAGAUCCAAACAUUUAUUGUUGCUUUGAUGUAGAAUGACAUCACCAUUUUUGACAAGGUUGUUACAUGAAUCUAGCAAUUGAUUAAUGUCAUUAUAUAUUAUCCUCAGUCAAAAGUUCCAUAUAUGAUAGAUUGAUUGAUUGUACUCGUCGUUGAACAACUACUGAUCUAACAUAGGAAUUUCAUUGCUUG
rnacentral:lncRNA from 1 species